GACACUUUGGCCGAGUGGACUAAGGCGCGAGACUCGAAUACGGUUUCUACUGUAUCUGGAUAUCUCGUAUCUUCGGAUGCGCAAGUUCGAAUCUUGCAGGUGUCG
rfam:Aspergillus cristatus strain GZAAS20.1005 Scaffold_Scf_26, whole genome shotgun sequence.